AGUUUCUAGCCUACGUUAGAGGCCACCAAAAUGAGGGCGGGACAGAGACAAUCGGACAUACCAGAAAGCACGUCCUCGCUUUAGAGAAGCGAUAUCAAUCAUCCUUCUAUAUACAUGUCAACAGAUUCCUUUACAAACUUUACUCUCUCAGAUCAGCUAUGAGUCAUAUCAUUUCUUAGAAGUAGUUUCUAGAAUUAUUUAGAAUACAGAAAAAGGAAAUGUAAACCCACUCACUCAGAGCUCCUGAACCUGCUCAUCAACUCGCCGCUGCUUAGCUGCCUCUUCAUUUCGGUCCUCUUUCUGAAUAGUUUCCUCAGCUAUCUUAAAAUCUUCAUCCUUUUGAACAGAUUUAUCCUUUUUGGAAUAAAGAGCUUCCCAGCAAGCACUCUAUUUCUUAGUAAUUUUCUCCAUCUUUAAACAUUUUCAAGAAGUUUCGUCUUUCAUAUCAGCAAUAAUAGUCAUGUAAGAAACAAGCUAUUCCUGUUUUUCUGAGGACAAAACCUUUUGAGAAGAAUUUGUUUCUAUGACUGUUUUUGUUGAUAUAAAGAUGAAACUUCUUGAGAAUGUUCAAAAGUGGAGAAAAUCCCUGGAGAUAGAAUGCUUGUUGGAGAAGCUCUUUAGAGGAUGAGAACGCAUCUAAUGAGGAUCCAAAAGGAAGUGAGAAAGCUAGUUAAGAGGAUAAGGUCCUUAAAGAAACGGCUUGUUCCUUGCAUGACUGUUUUUGCUGAUAUGAAGACGAAACUUCUCCCUCCCGGCCUCUUCGACACCGCUUCUUCUAUCUAUUACAACGGAGAUGAUGGCAUUAGCGGCCCCUUUCAUGGGGGGGACGCCAAUGGAUCUGAUAAGAAUGGUUUGGAUGAUGUGUUUUGGUUUUUUGGUUUGUUUGCUUGAAAUUGGUGUUUUUGGUUUUUUUGUGGAGUUGGGAAAUGCAGUGUUAUGUGAAACUUUUUGAAAUUUGGAGACUUUUUGUUCAUCGUUUUCUCUGGCAAUUAUUUAUAAGGAAAUGGACGGGGAAUUUCGGUAAUGGGUUUCUGUGGGUUUGAUGGUUUCUUUUUGUUAUUUUUAUGCCACUUGUUGCGGGUAAUCUUUGUUUUGGAUUGGAUUGGCUGUUCUACUUUUGUUUUUGAAAAUAUAGCAAUAGGUUAUCUUGAACGAACUUCAAGUGCUUCAGAUUUUUGUAUAUAAUUUUCACUUCUUUCUAAUUUGUCAUUCUGUAGUUGUAUACUGCUGACGUAAUAAUUUUUAAGCUGCUAUAUUAUUCAGAUUAAGUUUUAUUUGUGAUUGGAGAUGUUUGGAUUUUUCUGUACUAAUUUGGUAGAUUUUAUUUUUCUUUUAUGAAAAAUUGUUAAAAUGUUUUAAUUGAAAGCCAUGAUGUGUAAAGGUUUCUUUUUAUUACCAAGUUUGUCUUUUCUAAUGUAGCAAUUCUAAUAUUUGUUUCAAUAUUCACGAGAGGAUGAUAAUGGAAAUAUUUCUGAGGAAUAUUUAUUAACAGAACUUGAAGAUGCAUUGCUGAAGCAACGGCCAAACUGUGUGUCGGGUUUUGAAUUGACAAAAUCAAGGGACCAUCGUUAUCAAAUCCACAUUCAGCAUCGAUUAAAUGAACUUGAAGUUGGGGUAGGGAAUCGAAGGAAUAUUCAGGUGGCUUUGCUCUGGACCAUGUCAGCUUCAGUAUGUCAAAAAAAGACCAUCAACAAUAACAUGGUUCAUAUGCGGAGAAAGGCAAAGUUGGUUCAAAAGAAGAAAGAGAAAGGGUACACACGUAUGCCAAUGCUUUACCAAACUCUAAAACAAUUUUCGUUUUACACAAAACGGUGGAGAAACUAUCAUGAACUUUGAUGUCUCUUAUACUGGAAGAACUGAUACAAGGCUUAAACAUUACUUUCUUAACAUUGCUUAACAAUGAAGCAACCCUUAAGCGUGGAUGCAAUUUCAUUUCUUCGUCUUGGAGUAGUUACACCAUGGCUAGACAUGUUGUAAUUCUAGCUUUGAUUAUUCACCAUGUGGACUCGCUUUUUCGUGCUUUCUUUUAACUACUUUUAACCAUAUAUCAACACUACAUGCUUAAGCAGGUGACAAGUAGCCCCAGCUCUUCAAGUUUACUUCUUCAUAAAGUAGUCUCCAAAACCACCUUUAGCUUGCUCUUCUACAACACUUACGUUAAGCUGGAUAAAACAUAACAAAAACACACCCUUUGGCUUUGUAAUGCUAGCCUGAGGUUUACAAGCUUCUUACACUAAAAAUUGUCACAUCUCCAACACAUAUUCCACGGUACUUUUAGAAUGUGGAAUGUAAAGUAAUCAUAAAACUUAGAAAAUGAGAACGACAUAAGAUGAGCAUUAUAUAUCGAUGCCUACACAAAUGUUUCAGAUUUGGUGUGGGCAUUCACACAAAGAGCAGUAGUAUUUCCUUAUUGAUUUUUGUUUUCUUUUCAAAACGGUUUGUAUAUCUCUGAAAGUAUAUGAUAUGGACAAGGCUAACUAUGAGUCUAUGGACACCACCAGUAGUUUCAAGAGGAAUUUGUAGAAAAAGAGGAUGUUGGAUUGAAAGCCUUCUGCUCAGAACAGGUGAGGACUUCAUGAGGCUGUGCCUCUUCUCUUCCAACGCCCAUAAGAUCAAGACAAUAAAAGUAAUGCAAGAUGAUGUUGUUGAUGGCUGCAGCUGAGCCAAGUGUUGCUAAGGCAGGGAUGACUUCCAAAUAACCCUUCUUAGGGUACUUAAAUCUGUCACAGAGGAGUCAACUGUAAUCCUUGAAAGCCCUGACGUAAUUAUUCAUGAAAUUCUCCCCAGUUUGGCUGUUCCUAUUCACCAUCCUUAUUGCCUGAAAAUUUUGUGUGAAGUUAUGGUUGUCUUUUUGAAUGAACACUGUGAAGAUGGGCAAAGGUCAAAGGAUUUGGAGUCGAUAUCCAAUAAAUAAUUCCUCCCUCUCUACCCCUUCUUGACUGAAGAUGAGGAUCAUAUCCCCAUGUAUGCACAGAAGCUUCUUGUAAUGCUGAUUGAGUUUAGUUACGUAAAAAUAUUAGAUAUUUUACACCUUAAGACAAUUUCACAGUGCUUUGAGUUUUUGCUUGGGGAUCUCUCAAGUGCAUAUGUUAGUUACGUUAAGCUUUGCCUAGGUCUGGCCUCUUCUCCAGAGUUGUAUCCAAGUUACUUUCUCGGUUAAAGGUUGUUGGAAGGAUUGAAAAUCUUCUGGAGUUUGUAUAUGCCAAGGAUAUGGAAGAUUUCCUAGAACUAACCGUUGGCCUGUGUAAGGCUUUCUGUGAGCGGCAGGAAAGGCUUCAUCUACACAAAGAACCUGAUCUUUUAGGUAAUGGUUCUUCUGAAGUAAUGGACCAGUUGAUCAGCAACAAGGCUUAAGAGAUAUUAUGGACUUCGGAAGCAAUGGGGUCUUUGCUAGAGUUAAGUCCUUCCCAGGAAACAAAUGUGGCAGAUAUGGCUUCUGAAUGUGUUGACCUGCUGCUCAAGGCAGCUCUUAGGGAAGCUACUACCGGUCUGCUUGUCUAACCUUCAUAAGGUCAGUGCAAACAUCGAGUCAUGGAACAGGGGGAUUCCUCACUUAUUGGUGCAGCAGAUGCUACAUACUAUGCUAUUCAUGUAAGCAGUACCUGUCUCAUGCAAAGAUGUGGUCGAUAUCCAUGCCAGAGAUUUCAAAGAUUGAAUCAAUCGUCUCUAAGCUCAAAAGUUCUGGCAUAUCUGGUUUAGCCAAUGCUGCUUAGCUUGCUGCGGUGGAGUUACAGCGCCUACCUCGUUGCAUUUGAAAUCCUAGAUUUAUAUUUUGCACAAAUGAAAUUGACUCUUGAGAAGGGCAUGGAAGACAUGCUUCCUCAAUUCUUUAUAAGGUCAAUAAGGGAUGAGUUGUCAAAUUUUCUGCAUAGAAUAUUAUUAGCAUUCAUCCAUCCUCUUUUUGGGCUACCUUUGUAUAAUCCAUGUAUGCGAUGUAUAUUAGUUGACAUUAUUUGGGAAUAUCUUUGUUUUUCUCCCCCGAUUGAAACGUGCCGUAUGCUUUGCUAUCUUUUAAUCUUA